rnacentral:tRNA from 1 species
GGUAGUGUAGCCUAAUGGAAAGGUAGUGGCCUGGAAACUCGGAUAAUGUGGGUUCGGUUCACACCAUUACCC